UUCUCAGGCACAUUAAUUAUAUAUUGUAAUAAUUUACUCCAGAUCCAGAACAAUUUUACUCUUUUUUGGGAGUUGAAACGACCCCUGGAGUAAAAUUAAGGAGUACAAAUUACUCCAUAAUUUCUACUCCUAAACGCGAGUUUAGUUUACUCCUCCAGCGGAGUAAAAUUGACUCCUGAUGGAGUAAAUUGUGGAAUGCGCGCCGAAGUGGAGUAGUUUUAACUCUAUUUUGGGAGUAGAUUUUACUCCACUAUUUUUACUCUCCCGAGUUGAGUAGUUUUAACUCCUAUGGUGGAGUUAAAAUAACUCCUUGAAAUUAACAGUGCGUGUAAACAAUUUGUGGGAGUUUUCUCAUCGUGUUUUUAAUCCUGUAAAAGCUAUAAAAAGGCGAACAACUUGCCGUUUUCUCGUUCGCAAAACAUCGGAAAUUCAGUUUGAGCCGCCAUUUUGUUUUUCUCUACUAGCAGGAUACGAGCUAAUAUCCUGCUAGUAGAGAACCAAUCAGAUUGCAGAAUACCUCAUAUCGAGAC